UUGUCCUACGGGGGGCAGCAGUGGGGAAUAUUGGACAAUGGGGGGAACCCUGAUCCAGCGACGCCGCGCGAGUGAAGAAGUAUUUCGGUAUGUAAAGCUCUAUCAGCAGGGAAGAAAAUGACGGUACCUGACUAAGAAGCCCCGGCUAACUACGUGCCAGCAGCCGCGGUAAUACGUAGGGGGCAAGCGUUAUCCGGAUUUACUGGGUGUAAAGGGAGCGUAGACGGUGCAGCAAGUCUGGAGUGAAAUGCCGGGGCUCAACCCCGGAACUGCUUUGGAAACCGUGCAGCUAGAGUGCGGGAGAG
rnacentral:rRNA from 1 species